rnacentral:rRNA from 1 species
UACGUAGGGUCCGAGCGUUGUCCGGAGUUACUGGGCGUAAAGCGCGCGCAGGCGGCGGUGUUGGCCCGGCGUGAAAGCCCCCGGCUCAACCGGGGAGAGUCGUCGGGGACCGCACCGCUUGAGGGCGGUAGGGGCCGGUGGAAUGCCUGGUGUAGUGGUGAAAUGCGUAGAGAUCAGGCAGAACACCUGGGGCGAAGGCGGCCAGCUGGGCCGUCCCUGACGCUGAGGCGCGAAGGCGUGGGGAGCGAACGGG